GACGAACGCUGGCGGCGUGCUUAACACAUGCAAGUCGAACGGAAAGGCCCUGCUUUUGUGGGGUGCUCGAGUGGCGAACGGGUGAGUAACACGUGAGUAACCUGCCCUUGACUUUGGGAUAACUUCAGGAAACUGGGGCUAAUACCGGAUAGGAGCUCCUGCUGCAUGGUGGGGGUUGGAAAGUUUCGGCGGUUGGGGAUGGACUCGCGGCUUAUCAGCUUGUUGGUGGGGUAGUGGCUUACCAAGGGUUUGACGGGUAGCCGGCCUGAGAGGGUGACCGGCCACAUUGCGACUGCGAGACGGCCCAGACUCCUACGGGAGGCAGCAGGGGGGAAUAUUGCACAAUGGGCGGAAGCCUGAUGCAGCAACGCCGCGGGCGGGAAGACGGCUUUCGGGUUGUAAACCGCUUUCGCCUGUGACGAAGCGUGAGUGACGGUAAUGGGUAAAGAAGCACCGGCUAACUACGUG
rnacentral:rRNA from 1 species